UGCAAAUGUUCACAGUUCCAAGGGACCGCGGGGGAAAUUUACACCUCCUCCCCCUACUGCUUGUGCUUCCUUUCGCUUUGAAGUUCCGUGGCUCCGCACUGGAGUUGGGGAGGCAAGUCCUCCAGCCUCGGGCUUUUAAUAUUCACAUCACGUCCUCUUUGCAGCUACUUUGGGAGGAAUGAAAGCUACAAAGGACGUUUGGGUGACCUCCCCACAACACAAGGUGGGGUGGGGGGUUUCACCCCACACUGCCCCAUCUUGAAUCGCCAUGGAUGACCAAGUAGUUGAAACACGACUGGGGACUUAGGUGCCAGUCCUUCUAGGCAGAAGGGCCCUCUUGGGUUUUCAAUAUAAGGAAGAGUUUGAGGCAUUAAGAAGCCUGAGGAAGAGAGGAGAGAGGGGCUAGGGGCUCCCGCCUGGGAACAGGGAACUGCAAGAGGGCCUGUUCAGUGCUUUGGCCUAACUCGAAGUGGUGCCGCUAAGGUGACUGGUGUCCUGGUUUCCACUGGUCAUGGUUUGAUGAGCAUUUCUUCGAAGAUGUGAACUGCCUACCCCAACGGCCCAGCUCUUGGCCCAACAGUCUACACCACGCUCAAGAUUGUCAAGAGGUCAUUGUGCUUGUUGGAUGGCUAGUUAACUCUUUACUCACCACUUCUUCCCUGACCCUCUUCUUGUAAAUUUCUAAAACUAGCAAUACAAGAUUCAAAUCUAAAUCAUCAUACAGAACUGCAUGUUGGGCAGAAUAAUGGCCUCCAAAGUAUCCAUGUCCUAAUCUCCAGAACCUGUAAACAUGUUACCUUUCUUGGCAAAAGGGAAUUAAAUUUGCAGAUAAAAUUAAGGUUGCUAAUCGCCUGACCUUAAAGUAGAGAAACCAGCCUGGAUUAUCUGGGUGGGCCCA
rnacentral:lncRNA from 1 species